rnacentral:rRNA from 1 species
AUAUGGUCAAGUUACUAAGGGUGCAUGGGGGAUGUCUAGGCGUCGAGAGGCGAUGAAGGACGUGGUAGGCUGCGAUAAGCCCGGGGCAGGUGCCUAACAACCGUUAAUCCCGGGAUCUCCGAAUGGGGAAACCCGGCAGGACUGGGCAACCAGUUCCUGUCAUCUCUGGCUGAAUGCAUAGGCCAGGCGAAGCGAACGCAGGGAACUGAUACAUCUAAGUACCUGUAGGAAAGGAAAUCAACCGAGACUCCGUAAGUAGCGGCGAGCGAAAGCGGACAAGCCCAAACCAGAGAGCUUGCUUUCUGGUGUUGUGGGCGCCGGUAAGCAGUUACAAAGGCAUCGCAAGCAAAACGGUCUGGAAAGUCCGACCAUAGAAGGUGAUAGUCCUGUAUGCAAAAGCGAGAGCCCUGCAUUACUGCCGGCGUUCCAGAGUAGCACGGAACUCGUGGAACUCUGUGUGAAUCUGGGGGGUCCACCCUCCAAGGCUAAGUACUACUCGACGACCGAUAGUGAAAAGUAAGGCGACUGAACGAUGAAAAGUACCCCUAUUAGGGGAGUUAAAAGCACCUGAAUCCAUGCACCUACAAGCUGUGGGAGGGCUAUGACGUGUUCUUCGGAUCGCGUAAUGCCUGACCGCGUGCCUUUUGCAUAAUGAGCCGGCGAGUUACCGUUUGUGGCAAGGUUAAACCCUUCAGGGGUGUAGCCGUAGCGAAAGCGAGUCUUAACACGGCGUCCAAGUCGCAGGUGGUAGACGCGAAACCAGGUGAUCUACCCAUGGCCAGGUUGAAGGGGAUGUAAAAGUCCCUGGAGGACCGAACACACUAACGUUGAAAAGUUAGGGGAUGAGCUGUGGGGAGGAGUGAAAGUCUAAUCAAACCUGGAGAUAUCUCGUUCUCUCCGAAAUAGCUUUAGGGCUAGCCU